rnacentral:lncRNA from 1 species
AGGUGUCAAAGCCUGGGGGCUCAGGACCUUCAGGAACAAUGCCCAGAGCAGUAGCCAUGGAUGGCCAGAACCAAGGCCUGAGCCCAAGGGUCUGCAAAGGGGCUGCCCCACUCUCGCGGCAGGACACCUCCCACGGGGCUGCUCCCACUCCAGACCGCAGGCCUAGCCCCGCGCCGCCCCACCUGCUCUGAUGAGGCCCUGCGCGAUGGCCCCCGCCAUGCGGCCCGCGCCCACGAAGCCCACGCGCCGCGGAGACGGCUCCGCAGCUGCCAUCUUGUUGCCUCGGACGCCGCUGCGCUCACCGCCCAUCCACAGGCCGCGCCCCGCCCACAGAUCUAGGCCCCACCCCCGCCCUCCAAUAGGACUCGCCUCCCCGUCCCCACCCUCGCCGAUUGGUUACUGGGACGGCACACUCCGGCCGGCUUUUUGUCCGCACUCUACAGGUUCGCAAGGCGCGGGAACCCCGCCUCUCGCUGCUUAUUGGCCCGAAAGGGCUAUGCCGCCCCUCACUGCCCAUUGGCUGAGAGAAACUGGGGGCAGGGCCAAUGGGGGCGGGGCCGUAAGGGGCGGG